UACGUAGGGUGCAAGCGUUGUCCGGAAUUAUUGGGCGUAAAGGGCUCGUAGGCGGUCUGUCACGUCGGGAGUGAAAACUCAGGGCUUAACCCUGAGCCUGCUUCCGAUACGGGCAGACUAGAGGUAUGCAGGGGAGAACGGAAUUCCUGGUGUAGCGGUGAAAUGCGCAGAUAUCAGGAGGAACACCGGUGGCGAAGGCGGUUCCCUGGGCAUUACCUGACGCUGAGGAGCGAAAGUGUGGGGAGCGAACAGG
rnacentral:rRNA from 1 species